ACCUGAGUCCUGGUGGAGGCUCCUGGGCAGUGGUGGCGGCUUCUGGGUGGUGAUGGUGCUCCUUGACUAGAUGGGAGGAGGCUGGGCUGGGAGGAGCUGAGUUUGGCUGCUUUCUGAGCAAAAGUAGCACCUUGAAAGAUGUUUUUCUAUGUGUUGCCACAUGGAGUUAUUUCCAUAGUUCUAGGAGGCACAUAUAGAUUGCUGUUGGAGAAUCUUUGGGCAGCUAAAUGUGAAAUGUUCCUUCAAUUCGUGUGUAGGAAUCUAUCCCGUUUGCUGUGGAUAGUUUGCAACAAGAUGUACGACCUAACUUAAUGUAGGUCAUUAGGAAAAAGAAGAUAGGUACUUACGCCGUUUCCACAGGAGAUGUUCAGUGCUCUGGGAGUUCUGCUGCAGUAAUUGGCACAACUUGCUAGGACCAGGCACGUUACUUAGUUAAAAUUCACACAAGUAAACUGAAGACCAGAUCAACAGUAGCUUUUUUUAAGUUUAACAGCUCAAAUCUAGUUGUAUUUUUAGGUUUGAGCUGUGCAGUUAUCUAAGUUGCUGCGUCAUGCUAGCAGUCAAUGGCUCUCUUUUGUUUGUAAAACGCGGUCUUGAUCCGCUUGUGUAGUCUAAGAUACCGAAACUUCGCACAUGCAAUUAAUUUCUCAAAAGCUCCCUUUGUGAGUAUGAGAGCUUAAGCCUCUGUUACAGCUGCUGUCAAUAGACUCGGUAAGGUAGGCUUCGGAAAACUGAAUGUUCACGAAAGUUUCUGCUUAAAUCGUAGUUUAACAGGAAAGCGCCUGGCUAUGGGUACCUUACCUCUGAAAAAGGGAUCUUGGGAGGCAAGGGCUCUGCUUCAGCGUAUCCCAAAACCAGUGGUGGCUUACCAGCAGCUUGCGUCUUCUUGCCUGGGAAAGCCCGCGUGUCUCAGACAGCAGAACUUGAAGUAGUGCUUGAAAAUCAGAACAAGUGCUCAGAACCGCAUUGCUCACAAGACUGUUUGCUGUUCUUUUAUCGUUUCUGCUCAAGGGGAAGCAAGUCCUACACCCCUAAGACUAGAAAUACCCAAGACCAAGUGCAUGCAGUUAGCAAGCAUCUUGCCGCUCUGCGAGUUCUAAAAGUGGCACAUGAAAAGCAAUACUUCCUUUUCUAUUUCGACUGCGUGAGACCACUACUCCAGUUCAGUCACCUUGGACAUUUCAUGCUACUAUUUUCUAAUUUCACAAGUGCUCCUCAUUCUCCUGCAAUAGCCUGCAGCACAUAAAAUAACAGUUGAACUGCCAGACGGUGAAGCUGCUAUUUAAAAGGAACUUGAUGCCAAGCUUGAAGAACCUCAGGAAGCUAGGUAAAGGAAAAAGCAGAGCCCAGUACAGCAGGUGUUACUUUCUCACCUCCCCCUGCACUGGCUGGUUGCAGGACAGGGAGAAAGCUAUGGGGUUACUUGGGGAGACUGCCAUUUCAACUGGCUGAAACUCUGAAUGGCUUCAUUUGCUGCUGAAUAAGUAUUGGAUUUCAAGGUUGAGAGAUCAGUUAACUUCAGAAUCCCUUCUUGGGGAAAAUGAUAUGUAUGACAGUCUUUUCAGGGGCUUGUUUUUCUGUGCUAUGUGAAAGAGGACUUGUGGUGCUUAGCACUUAGGUAGGCAACCACGUGAGACAGAUGUGUUCUCCCUGUUACAUCCCCUUAAAGAUCAAGAGGUAGGUGAUGAAUUUGUGCUGCACAAGAGAGUUCUUGUCUACUCCUUGUCUACUCCUUCAUAGAAGGAAGAGAGCCUUCCUUCUAUGCUUAGCUCUGUAGGUCCUUUCUCAAUUGUAAUUUUAUUCGCUAUUAUUUCCAGAAUCUGCUACUGAACACAGAUGUCUUAAGUACUUCAACCUAUUGGGCUUGUGACUAGUCUUCCUCCUAAAACCAGUGUCAGAAGUCUUGUAGCUGUCACAGCUUGCUCUCCCUCCACAGACUCAACUCCUAAAGCAUAAACCCUUAAAGCAUGGAAUAGAAACAGCGAGGGCAGGAAACUGCAUCAAUCGGCAAAUGAAGUGAAUGCGAGAAGUCGUAACUUUGGUCACAACGAUUUCCAAUGAUUGUUUUCUACUUUUUUGUGAAUGACAAAGCCACUGCAUACCUUAAACUUCGUCUCUGUGCUUUGUUCUGGAGAAAACAGAUGAUAAGAUGUUGAAGAGGGUAGCUAUCAGUGUCCCUGUUGUUGGGGGGGUAGUGGGGUGAGGCGGCCUCUAAGGGUCCCCUUUCAACUCCUAACAAUUCCAUAAAUCUGUGCCGAGUCAGGCAAUGUUUAAAAGAACAGGGAUUGUUACUGUUUUGUAUAUCAUCAAUAAUGAUAACAUUAAUUUGCUCAAUUUAUUUUAAAAAAAGGGGUCUUACUUGAUAUUAAUAAAAAUGAUGAAUACUGUUAUAUUCUACUGUUGAGCUAUAGCUGUUCUACUGUUAGUUUGGACAUGUUUGCUUUGUAAAAUCUGGGUUACAAAAGGAACUCAAUACAGCGUUUGUCAAGAAGAUUUUUUGCAUACAAAUACACUAAAUUGACUUGUCAAAAAAUGCUAACUGUCAUGCUUUCUCAUGCUUACAUGAUGAUUGAAGUUCUAGUAUCACCCUUCUGCCAUAUUCAACUUUGUACUACUGUGGUAAUACAUCUGUCAGAGAUGUUUUCCUAUGGGUGGUGGUUCCAUUUUUUUCUACUUAAGAAAAGUAAGUUUGAAUAACUCAACUUGGGUUGUCAACAUGAAGUUAUAUUAGGAUUGCAGAGUAUUAUUUCAAGAUUGCAAGGAGUAUUUUGAUUUCUGUCCCUGUAUUUCUGCACGGCUGAAAAGCUGGGAUUUACCACUACUUUCCGUCUUUGUUUCCCUACCUGCUUUUCUCCACGUGUUCAGAUGUUCCAACUACCAUUAGGCUAAACAUUAACAGAUUCAGACUCCUUUUCCUGAGCUUCUGAGUUCAAGUUUCUCCAGCGUCACAUGAUCAAGCUUCAUAUAUAAUGCACUUUUAAAAUACCCCGCUGUCAUUUCUUGGGUGUUUCCUUGCCUGUACCUUACAUAGGAAACCGUUCUUAACAUUUACGCCUUUAAAGUACCUGUGUUUAAUUAAUCAUUAUUGCUACAUUAAUAACUGUUCCUUGUAACAAAAUAUGAGACUCUCCUUCCUUACAACCAAGUUCAAACACGCAAAAAUCUCAAGAGAAGCCAUCUUUGCAUUCUGAUGAUGCUUCAUGCCACCUGAUCCAACUGUUACAGACCAGAGAAACCCAAAAGGUUCUUCUGUCAUUUUAGUUGCAAACAACUAAAGGAGACUUUCCAAAAUAAACCUGCUGUCUUUAAAGAAAAAAAUUUUAGAUACUGUGACAGUUCUGUGCAGACAUGCUUUCUCUAAAGGUACAUUUUCUGCACAGCCAUCAUGCUGAAAGUGCCUUUGCUGUGAUGGUAACUAAACAGCAUCAGUGUAAUCACCUGGUAGAUUCACCAACUUUUCCACACUCAGUAUUCCCUGUUUUUAAGAGUUGCUUCUAGGACCACUGAAAAAAAUACCCUUCUGCAAAUACUGCGAGGCAUGUGAUUUAACCCCACUGGUGGCUAAGCACUCUGUCCCCCACCUUCCCAGAGAAAUGGGGGAGAGAACUGCAAAAAAACAGUAAAAAG